ensembl:lncRNA
GGGAGGCAAGCGUUAUACGCAUCAAUUUGUACAGUCUUCAGUGGCACCCCCGUUUUUCCUGCAACGACUUGAAAGAGAAUUCUCCUGCGUUACAAUACCGUUACAAUGUGAUCCAGCAGCAGCCCCUGGGUAGAGAAGCGUGCGCCUCGGCGAAUGUAUGUCGGGCUGUGAUAUAGAACAACAACACAAAUAACGUAUAGAGCCGGAGACUGAGAGAGGGACACGCAUCGCUGGAUUUAUAGGGGGAGAAAGACAAGAGAAAGAAGUCGCUGCUGCGGUGCCCGUUCGUCGGUGAUGUUUUAUAGGUUGUAAUACACAGUCUACACACUAAUAGACACCCUACACCACCACCUCCACCUGUUAACUCCCAGCAAUGGCAUGUGUUGUAAAAUGGACCUCAUAGAGAAGGAGCGAUGAAAACCCGAACACACAAGGAAUCGAUGCCCAUGCGUAGUGGGCGCAGGCGGGGGCAGUGAGGAGCGGAGGGGCCGGCG